CCCAGACACACGUCUUCAGCAAUUGUUUAUCUUCCACCAGAGUGCAGAUCAAUCUUCACACAGAGCUGGAUGCAGCAAUGCAGGUGGGGUCUCACAAGAGCAGAACAGACAGGCAGAAUCACCUCCAUUCAUCUGCUGGACCUGCUUCCUUUGAUGCAUCUCAGGAUACAGUUGGGCUUCUUCUGGGCUACAAGUGCAUAUUGUCAACUCACCAAGCUUCUUGUCCAGCAAUGCCCCCAAGUCCUUCUCCACAGGCCUAGUCUCAAUCAAUUCUCCACACAGCCUAUAUUUGUGCUUGGGAUUGCCCUGACCCAGAUGCAGCACCUUGUGCUUGGCCUUGCUGAACUUCAUGAGGUUUGCAAAGGUCCACCUCUCAAGUUGUCCAGGUCCUGCUGGAUGGUAUCCCUUCCUUCUGUCGUGUUGAUCACAUCACUCAGCUUGGUGUCAUCAGCAAAGCUGCUAAGAGUGAACUCUGUCCCAGCAUCCAUGUUGCCAACAAAGAUGCUGAACAUCACCAAUCCCAAUACCAAUCACCAAGGAACACCACUUGUCACCGGUCUCCACUUGGACUACCAAUUCACUUCCCUCACAUCAAAUUGUUAGUAAAGAUUUCCUGAUCAAAAUUGAUUUUUCAAAUUUGAUGCCAGUUCAGAGUUCGUGUUCACAUCCGUCUAGGACAACUUUAACAAAUGUAGAGAGGGAAUGUGCUCCUGUUACAUGUGCAUUCUUAUUAAACUUCACUUCAACAAUACAGAAUCCUGGAAAACCAAAUUAAUGAGAGGAUGUGCUCAACUGUAUAAAAUGUUGGAGGACUGGGUUAUGUGGACUACUUUCACUUGAAUGAUAGGAUCUUUUUUAGUUAGUAUUUACUAUUUGAAUAGAGAAAUCCUCAAAAGUUGCUGUAUUUAACCACAAAGAAAGUCUAAGGCUUCAUUGGAAAAAGAUUAAUCAGUAUUGGUACUAAUAAAUGGAAUGUGAAAAUGUGUUAUUACAGCCAUGUACUCCAUUGCUGGCGUGGUGAUCAGUGGCAGAAACAAUUCAUCAUCACAACACAAAGCAAUGUCUGUAAUGCAGCUUCAGUUGUUUCGUCUUGUAUGAUGUAUACAAGCAUCAAGAGAAGUUCAACAUCUGUGAUGCUGAAGCUUUGUAACAGUCAAACAUUAUGAUGAGUUUUCUAUCAAACUAAAAAGAGUUCAGGACUCAAUACUUUGCACAGAACAAGUGCACAGCAGCAGCAAGUGUCAUAUAGAGUCUUACACAGUGUCACUUCUUCAGCCUCCAAGUCACUUUGAACAAGUAGAAGGCUUUUGAAAUCUGACUUUGUGUCACAAGGCAAAGAAGAAAUAUAUCCUUUUAUCUGGGAAUUCAUCUCUGACCAGAAAUAAAGACUUGCUGCUGACAACAGGUUGUUUUUCUUCUCUUUCUGAAUAUAAAAAUACAGUAUGGGUCAGGUAGCAUGAGGCUGCUUUCUGCUCUCAAAAACAUCUUUAAAAUGAAACUACACAUUUAAAGAAUGAAAAUUUGGGUUUUCAAGCAAACCAGAAUAUAAACAGGUUAGGAGCUGGUAAUCAAAGUAACAACGCAACAGAAAUCCAUAAAGGGAAUGGAGAAUAUUGACAAACAUGCUUUUCAUUAGAAAAGACUUUUUUGCAUCAAUUUUUGAAUUAAGAAAAUCAAUCAGAAGUGAAGAUAUACUGACAGCAGCAUGAGGAAGCAGCAAAAGUUCAACAGAGAGAAGUAGUGCAAUCAAUUUGACCUUGUGUCAGACACUUUACCAACUCCACAGAAACUGGGUAUUAAGCAAGUACCCAUAAAAUAGGUUGAAUUAUUUAGCAAGUGUGGGACUUUUAAAUCAACUCAGGCCAUGAUCUACCUGUGUUGGCAAAUCCAACUGCUCUGGAAAACUGAAUCUCCCAGGAUGCAGCCAUUGUUUGAUGGGAGAGCAAGAAUAAGGAGAAGUUCUUCAGGACAGAAAAGCCAAAAUCUGUGUUCAAUUCAAUUAGCUAGCAGAUGUAACUAAAAUUUUAGAUGGAAAGACAGAAGUAUUUUUAAAGUCAAACCUAUGGGAAAAAAAAAAAUUGGGGGAGAGUAUAAAUGAGCAUAAAAGGUGUUUCAGGCUUCUCUUUUCAUAGUUGCACAACUCCACUUUUUCAUAAUUACUGCAUGGUGCUGACUUUUUUUUUUUCACGUAUAUUUAAAAUGGACAUUGUAAAAUCAUUGGGCAGAGACAUAAUAAUGUUAACAACUCUUCUUUUUUCAUGCAAAAUUUCUUUGACAGCUUGGCAUAUAGUUAAUCACUUUUUAAAAACUGAAUGCACCCCAAUGCAGUGGACCUAAUUUUUUAAUCUGUCAGCCAGAAUUUGUCAUUAACAAACUUUUAAAAACUGAUUAAAUACUUUGCUUUUUUUCCUCAA